rnacentral:rRNA from 1 species
UCGGGAAUUUUGGGCAAUGGGCGCAAGCCUGACCCAGCCACGCCGCGUGAGGGAUGAAGGCCUUCGGGUCGUAAACCUCUGUCGGGAGGGACGAACGGACUGCGGGUGAAACAAUCCGCGGUAUUGACGGUACCUCCAAAGGAAGCGCCGGCUAACUCCGUGCCAGCAGCCGCGGUAAUACGGAGGGCGCAAGCGUUGUUCGGAAUUACUGGGCGUAAAGCGCGUGUAGGCGGCCGAGCAAGUCGGGUGUGAAAUCCCGGGGCCCAACCCCGGAACUGCACUCGAAACUGCCCGGCUGGAGUCCCGGAGAGGAAGGCGGAAUUCCCGGUGUAGAGGUGAAAUUCGUAGAUAUCGGGAGGAACACCAGUGGCGAAGGCGGCCUUCUGGACGGUGACUGACGCUGAGACGCGAAAGCGUGGGGAGCAAACAGGAUUAGAUACCCGCGUAGUCC